CUUGACUGCCACCUCAUGAGAGACCUUGAGCCAGAACCACCCAGCCAAGCCACUCCUGGAUUCCUGAUCCACAGAAACUAGACCAUGGGGCACCAUCAGAGCGGCAAUGAAGGCUGACACAUCCGUGUUCUGCAGAAAACACUUGGGAAGAAUGAAUCUAUGGAAAUUCCUCUUCCGAGCUGAGCAUGUAAUGUUUUGACAAGUCUUUUUC